CGGGCAGAUAGAGGCUGAUCUUCUGAAAGGGAAGCCCAGGGGGAAGCUGGGCAAAGGAGAGAGCCAUGAAGUCCAGCAGCCACCAAAUGCUCCCCAAGGGAGCCCCUCCAGCCAAGAGCCCAACAAGUGCCAGGCCAGGGGGAACCGGACUCAGGGCCGUGGCCCGUUUUCUGUCUCUCCCGGAAAAGGACGGCAUUUGGCCUCUCCGAAGAAGCCCCUGGGCCAGCACGCCAUUCCUAGGGGCAACUGGGCUCCCCUCUUCCUGGUGCCCACCACUUUAGGAGUGGCAGGGAGACCCCUUGGUCUGCCAGCCAUGUUGAUCUUUCAGCAAGUGCUUCAGAGCGGCCCAGCAGGCUGGGGGCCAAGCGGCCAUUCUCCUCCUCCUCCUCAGGGGUCCUGAGGGGCGACUGACCAUGGAGAGACAGGACUCACACCAAAUGUAUUUAGAGAGUGGCCACCCGUGGCAAGCCCUGGGAGAGUGUUCCACGACCCUGGAGAGCCUCCUCAGAUGCCUCUCAGCGCAGUCCUGCUGCUUUGGCUGCUUUGACCACCCAGGCAGAGCCAGCUAGAAAGACUCUGUAGGACAGACUACACUAGACCCACAUACUUCCUCUUGCUGAGGCUCUGCUGGCCCGGGUCAGGCCUCCUGGCUUGGCUGCCAAAGGAUGUGUGGGCCUCUGUGCCCAUCUCUAUAAAUUAUGUUGCAAAUGAAUUUAAAACCACUCUCUGGCCAGGGCAGGAAAUUGAAUUGGAGCUUUUUCAUACGCUUAUUGUAAGACUAGCAAUGCUGCAGCCCAUUUGGGCCAUGAAGGAUGUGCCUUUAUGCAAAACUUUGUUAUCACAGAAAUCGUUUUUUUAAAGGCAGAGAAGCAGAGGGAGGAAGGGGCUGCAAGAAAGCACCAGAGCUCCUGCUUAAACGACAGGCACUCAUGAAUAGGUUGCACACCACGGAGAGGGCAUGGAAUGGAUUGGACCGCAUCCAUUGUGCUGCAGAACAUCUGGCUAGCAUGCCAGUCAAGGAGACACAAAGGACUGCGACAUAAGUGUAAUGGGGAGGGGGAGGGAGCAGGAGAAGGGGCUUCAUUUUCCAGUCUUUCCAGUCAACAGACGGAGAUUUUCUCCUUCGUAUUUCUUAAAAGGGACUUGUAGCCUUGCGUGUCUCCUCGCAGCAUCUUUCAGCUCCGAGGCGUGAAAGCAAUCAGGAUGUGAUCUUGAGCCCAAAAGGGAUUUCCCUGCCAGCCAGAGAAGACACCUCUCUGCCUGAUGCCUCCUGGACGAUCCUCAGGGCUGAUCCCUCCUCGGGGCAGAGGCCGAGUCCCUGGGUUGCACAAGGAAAGGUCUCCCUUCCAAAGCCUCAGUCAGCCCCUCCCUGCUGAGUCCCCAUUGGGGCUUCUAGAACACAGGAGUGGAGGAACCUUCUCUUCUCCAGGGCAGCCAUUCAUGCCAGCACCAUUAAUGAGCAGCAGAGCCCCCCCCCGGGAUUUGUGGGAAGGGACAGCCUGCAGCCCGAGGGAGAAAAGCAAAGGGAAUCCCACAGUCCGCCCCUCCCCACCCGGGCGAGGCAGCGCAGCAGGGAAAAGCCAGCGCUGACCCCAGAGGGGCGCUGCAAAGGGAGGCGCUCACCAGAGGGACGGCCACCUUCCUGGGCAAGCAACCUUUGAACCUACAGGGUGGCUGGCCUUGACCUGGAGCCCCUGCCCCGCAGGCAGACGGCUCCCACUCGGUCCGUUCUUUGCAUGCCAUCCGUUCAGACGCGCUUCCUGGUCUGCCGAGCGUGCCAGCUCGCUACCCCAUCUGGCUGCCCAUAUGAAAGGAGGGAAACGCGGCUCCAGAAUUUUGACCGAGCAGCGCCAAGCCCGCCUGUCCAGAACCCCUCCCCGCCCGGCCUCCGCUCUGAAACCCCACUGAAACCCAGGUCGUCUGAGUCCUAAGGCGUUUCAGAAGAGGGAAGGGAGAAGCGAGGCUGAACUCCAGCCAGGAAGCCGGGCUCCGGCCGGGCAGGCGGAGAGGCUACCCGCGCCCGAAACGCAGGUGCCAGCGCCACGGACGUGGGAACGCAGGAGAGCCGGGGAAGAGCGGCCCCUCGCGUUGAGUGGCAUUCAGGCGAUCCUCGGCUUCGCCGCUCGUGGUUCUCCGGCUGCCGAGCUGCGAAUCCGCUUCCGUUCGCCCCCCUUCCCAAGACGGGAGCCCUCAGUUGGACGGCAGCAGCUCGGCCUGGUGGUUCCUCUGAACGCAGCAGGGCCGGCCCUGGGCAUCUUCCCGCAGCCGCAGAGGGAAAGGCCAGCAGCCAGGCGGGCCUGGGGAAGGCGGUUUCCAGCCCACCGGUCUGAGACGGUCAUCGAUCAGUUUUAACGUGCAAUAAAUCCAGUCUGGCUUUACCCCGGCAGAGCUCCUUCGAACGCUGCUACCUCCAGUUCCGAAGGGGGCGCCUGGCGGAUCCCGCCUCGGGAAGGGCGGCAUCCUCACGAUACUCUCAGCCUCCGGGGAGCCGGAACGCCUGGCUGACAGAAGAGCAGACCUUUCGCAGCACUGACAGGGGUAAAGAAAGAAAGCAACUUGGGAGAAACACCUGGAGGUGGAGACAAAGGUGGGAAAGAAACGCACCAGCACCCAGCAGGCCUUCCGACUGACAUUGGACAGCUGUUGCAAGCAAUAAACUCCACCAGGAAGCAAAUGCUGUGGACACAGAAGGGUGAACUAUCAGAUGCCCGGAUAUUUUCUCCUGAACUGGUGAAAUCAACUUGUUGGGAGCUGCAGGAUCUCCUCUUGGCCUUCAGCUGCAAUUGGCCAGCUGGGCAAAGCUUUCCCCAACCCGUCCCCUUGGUUAACUCUGCUGGGAGCUGCUCACUGGCUGCACAAUGUUUCUGUGUGCCAAUUGCUAUUAAGGUAAGCAAGAGCAGCAGAGUUCACGGGAAUGGACUGCAGGGAAGGGUGAGAAUUCACAAAUACUAUGUGCCUUUUGUGCAGUUUUUCCAGUGUGGACUCCAGCCAGAGUUGCUAUUUCAUCUGCUAAAUCAACACUUUUCCCAAAACAAGAAAAAGCAGAUUGCGCAUAAACAGUUGCGAAUAAUAUGGCAAGGAUUUUGCAAUCUUCCCCCUUGAGUUUAUACGGUACACAAUCUCUGGUCCUGCUUGUGUAAG